GAGUUUGAUCCUGGCUCAGGAUGAACGCUAGCGGCAGGCUUAAUACAUGCAAGUCGAGGGGCAGCAGCUUUAUAGCAAUAUAGAGGCUGGCGACCGGCAAACGGGUGCGGAACACGUACACAACCUUCCUUGAAUAGGGGGAUAGCCCAUAGAAAUGUGGAUUAAUACCCCGUAAUAUAGCGGUGUGGCAUCACACUGUUAUUAUAGUUUYGGCGAUUCGAGAUGGGUGUGCGGCUGAUUAGGUAGUUGGCGGGGUAAAGGCCCACCAAGCCUUCGAUCAGUAGCUGAUGUGAGAGCAUGAUCAGCCACACGGGCACUGAGACACGGGCCCGACUCCUACGGGAGGCAGCAGUAAGGAAUAUUGGUCAAUGGACGCAAGUYUGAACCAGCCAUGCCGCGUGAAGGAUGAAGGUCCUCUGGAUUGUAAACUUCUUUUAUAGGGGGCGAAAAAAGGUCUUCUAGAUCACUGACAGUACCCUA
rnacentral:rRNA from 1 species